GCAGUAGCUCAAUGGUAGGGUUCCCGCUUUGUAUGCGGGAAGACCUGCGUUCGAUUCCCGGCUGC
rnacentral:tRNA from 1 species